UACGUAGGGUGCAAGCGUUAAUCGGAAUUACUGGGCGUAAAGCGUGCGCAGGCGGCUUUGCAAGACAGAUGUGAAAGCCCCGGGCUUAACCUGGGAACGGCCGUUGAAACUGGCGAACUGGAGUGUGGCAGAGGGGGGUGGAAUUCCGCGUGUAGCAGUGAAAUGCGUAGAGAUGCGGAGGAACACCGAUGGCGAAGGCAGCCCCCUGGGCUAACACUGACGCUCAGGCACGAAAGCGUGGGGAGCAAACAGG
rnacentral:rRNA from 1 species